rnacentral:rRNA from 1 species
UACAGAGGGGGCAAGCGUUGUUCGGAAUUACUGGGCGUAAAGGGCGCGUAGGCGGCCUUCUAAGUCGAACGUGAAAUCCCCGGGCUCAACCCGGGAACUGCGUCCGAUACUGGAAGGCUUGAAUUCGGGAGAGGGAUGCGGAAUUCCAGGUGUAGCGGUGAAAUGCGUAGAUAUCUGGAGGAACACCGGUGGCGAAGGCGGCAUCCUGGACCGGCAUUGACGCUGAGGCGCGAAAGCCAGGGGAGCAAGCGGG